GACAGAGGGUGCAAACGUUGUUCGGAAUUACUGGGCGUAAAGCGAGUGUAGGCGGUUUUCUAAGUCAGGUGUGAAAGCCCCGGGCUCAACCCGGGAAGUGCACUUGAAACUGGGAGGCUAGAGUAUCGGAGAGGUUGGUGGAAUUCUCGGUGUAGAGGUGAAAUUCGUAGAUAUCGAGAGGAACACCGGUGGCGAAGGCGGCCAACUGGACGAAUACUGACGCUGAGACUCGAAAGCGUGGGGAGCAAACAGG
rnacentral:rRNA from 1 species